AGCGUUGUUCGGAAUUACUGGGCGUAAAGCGCGCGUAGGCGGAUAUUUUAGUCAGGGGUGAAAUCCCGGGGCUCAACCCCGGAACUGCCUCUGAUACUGGAUAUCUUGAGUUCGAGAGAGGUAAGUGGAAUUGCGAGUGUAG
rnacentral:rRNA from 1 species